GUCCGCCAGAGAAUUACAAGCGAAAGCUUAAAACCCAAAGGACUUGACGGUGCCCCAAACCGCCCUAGAGGAGCCUGUCCUAUAAUCGAUACCCCACGCUUUACCUUACCCCCCCUUGUACCGCAGCCUAUAUACCGCCGUCGCCAGUCUACCUGAUGACAGACACCCCCGUCGACAAAAAAGUCACCCACAAACACGUCAGGUCAAGGUGUAGCUUAUGGGGGGGCAAGAGAUGGGCUACAUUUCCUAACCUAGGAAAUACUAAACAUCAUAUGAAAUUAGACCAAAAGGCGGAUUUAGCAGUAAGAAAGGACAAGAUCUCCCUCCCUGAA
rnacentral:rRNA from 1 species